UAGCGGCAGCACGGGUACUUGUACCUGGUGGCGAGCGGCGGACGGGUGAGUAAUGCCUAGGAAUCUGCCUGGUAGUGGGGGAUAACGCUCGGAAACGGACGCUAAUACCGCAUACGUCCUACGGGAGAAAGCAGGGGACCUUCGGGCCUUGCGCUAUCAGAUGAGCCUAGGUCGGAUUAGCUAGUUGGUGAGGUAAUGGCUCACCAAGGCGACGAUCCGUAACUGGUCUGAGAGGAUGAUCAGUCACACUGGAACUGAGACACGGUCCAGACUCCUACGGGAGGCAGCAGUGGGGAAUAUUGGACAAUGGGCGAAAGCCUGAUCCAGCCAUGCCGCGUGUGUGAAGAAGGUCUUCGGAUUGUAAAGCACUUUAAGUUGGGAGGAAGGGCAGUUACCUAAUACGUAUCUGUUUUGACGUUACCGACAGAAUAAGCACCGGCUAACUCUGUGCCAGCAGCCGCGGUAAUACAGAGGGUGCAAGCGUUAAUCGGAAUUACUGGGCGUAAAGCGCGCGUAGGUGGUUUGUUAAGUUGGAUGUGAAAUC
rnacentral:rRNA from 1 species